UUGACGGGGCCGCACAAGCGGUGGAGCAUGUGGUUUAAUCGAAGACAACGCGAAGAACCUUACCAGGUCUUGACAUCCCGAUGCUAUUUCUAGAGAUAGAAAGUUACUUCGGUACAUCGGUGACAGGUGGUGCAUGGUUGUCGUCAGCUCGUGUCGUGAGAUGUUGGGUUAAGUCCCGCAACGAGCGCAACCCUUGUCAUUAGUUGCCAUCAUUUAGUUGGGCACUCUAAUGAGACUGCCGGUGACAAACCGGAGGAAGGUGGGGAUGACGUCAAGUCCUCAUGGCCCUUAUGGGUAGGGCUUCACACGUCAUACAAUGGUCGGUACAGAGGGUUGCCAAGCCGCGAGGUGGAGCCAAUCCCUUAAAGCCGAUCGUAGUCCGGAUCGUAGUCUGCAACUCGACUACGUGAAGUCGGAAUCGCUAGUAAUCGCAGAUCAGCAUGCUGCGGUGAAUACGUUCCCGGGUCUU
rnacentral:rRNA from 1 species